rfam:Schistosoma curassoni strain Dakar, Senegal genome assembly, scaffold: SCTD_contig0000604
GCACUGCUGAGCAGUUCCACAAUAGGACGAAACGGCCGUCCAGUGC